rnacentral:rRNA from 1 species
UACGUAGGGUGCAAGCGUUAUUCGGAAUUACUGGGCGUAAAGCGUGCGCAGGCGGUGAUGUAAGUCAGGUGUGAAAUCCCCGGGCUCAACCUGGGAACUGCAUUUGUGACUGCAUCGCUGGAGUACGGCAGAGGGGGAUGGAAUUCCGCGUGUAGCAGUGAAAUGCGUAGAUAUGGGGAGGAACACCGAUGGCGAAGGCAAUCCCCUGGGCCGGUACUGACGCUCAUGCACGAAAGCGUGGGGAGCAAACAGG